rfam:Oryza sativa (indica cultivar-group) chromosome 3, whole genome shotgun sequence.
UAUAAGUGUAACCAUAAGUUUCUGUGUCCAAUUUUAAUCGUUCGUCUUAUUUGAAAUUUUUUUAUAAUUAGUAUUUUUAUUGUUAUGAGAUGAUAAAAUAUAAAUAGUGAUUUACUCGUGACUUAUGUUUUUAAAUUUUUUCAAAAAUUUUUCAAAUAAGAUGGACGGUCAAAGUUGGGCGCGGAAAACCAUGGCUGCACUUAUA